UCAUGGGUAAAUGUGGGGCAAUAAUUUACAAGGCCUAGGCUAUGAUUUAUUUUAGCAGGUCUUUAGAUUUUUCACAGAGGAAAUUGUUUCCAACAGUGCCUUCCUGUAGAAUUCCAAAUAUUUUGAAAGAUAAUAUAACAAACACUAAUGUUUGAAAUUGGGAAAAUAUCAGAGCCAGCAGGAAGGAUGAUUAACACUCAUAAGAAUGGUACAGACAUUGCUGACACAGUUUUCAUAGCAGCUCUUUGAAAAGAGACAUGUCACCCUGCGGAUUUCAAACACAUCUAAGACAAUGAAAGCAUACAGAGCCAGCAAAACCAAACACAGAAAAGGAAGACUAUAUAUGUAGUGACAUUUGAGAACAAAACAUUUCUCCAAAUACAGGGCUUCACAUUCAGGGCCCUCAAAGAAGAUUAUAAAACCAGUCAGGUGGCCACAUUAGUUACUGACCACACUGGGAUUAGGAUCUUGAUAAGUAGUUUGGGGGUUUCUUUCCUGAACAUUACUCGAUCAAUUUGGUGCUCCAAUCACAAGAUACUGGUAUUGAUUUCUUACACAAUGGCAGAAACAUAAUGUCACAUCACAUAUUCCAUUUUCUAAAUUUACCCCAUAUGCUCUACAGCCUAUGCUUUACUUCCUAAGUGUACUGCCUAGUCACACUGGUUAAUUUCCAUUGCUGAAAAUCACCUUCAAUGCCUCCUCUUACUCAAGUAAUAUGAAU
rnacentral:lncRNA from 10 species